UUCCACAUUUACCAUGUGAUGAUUCCGAUUCAGACGACUCAAUACAUGCCCUGCGCUUUCCUUUACCUUUUCCUUUACCCUUCCCAACUAAUUUUCUCUUGCGUGUUUUUUUCACAGCCUCUGGCGCCAAAGCAACAUCAGCACUAACAGACGUGAAGGUAUGCUGUAUUCCACUGGGUCCAGCUAACACAUCCGAGUCCGUGUAGAUAUCCGGAGCUGCACUAGUACCAGCAUCUUUAAUUUGACCAUGACUGGUAAUUACCAUUGUGAACAGUAUGUCAGCAACAUCAUUGGACGCCCCAAUGGAAGGACUUUUUUUUUUAAGAUGAGUCAAGAUCUGGAGAUGUGGAGACUGGUGUUCUGAUUGCAGUCACAGGUUCAAGAUUCAGAUGCUCCGACAAUGUAUUGAAAAACUGUUUCUCAAGGUAAAAUAAAAUGGAUGUUAACACUUGAAAUUCUGGU